UCCGGGGCUCCGGCUGCGGGGACGUGGGGGACCUCAGCGAGGCCGAGCCCGCGCCGCCCCGGCCCCGCUCCGCUCCGUGCGGGCCUUCCUGGAGAGCGGCGAGCGCGGGCUGGCGGCCGCCGGCAGGUGGGGGAGCGGGGCGUCCGGGCGGGCGGCGCGGCCCGGCGAUGGCGCUGGGGAACUCGCUGGAGACGAGCGGCUCCGCGGGCGCCUUGACGUCGCGCUGCAGGCGGCGGUCGCGAGGCCGGCGCUGUGCGGAGCGGGACGCUUCUACGUGCGUGCUGGAACUUUCCUGCUGGAAACAGCGCAGAGCAGCGCGGCACGAUGGAGAGAUGCGUGUGAACUCGCAGCCUGGUGGUACCUGAACGCUUUCCGUAUUCCUAAACCAAAGUCAAAACUAAUAAGAGGAGAUGGUGCUGGGCAAGAUGUGCUGGAAAUGUUGGCCUGUGACCGAAAAAGCCAGUGUGGUGGAGGUAAAGUCUGGAGAAGAAUGUGAAGGAAUUGUCUUCAAAGAGAGGGCAGAACUUUACAGCUGGGCCAGAGAUGCCGCUCAGCGGAAGGAGCUCUUGGAGAGCUGAAGCUCCUCUUCCGGACACAGCAGAAGUAUUCCAGGAGCCUCGUGAGAAGGGGCCGAGUUGCUGAGGUGUGUGCAAAGCAUGUCAUCGCCACAGAAAUGAACUCAUUGCCCUCUGAGACAUCAAACUGCUUGAAUUUGGACAGCUACAGGUGAUGCUGACGGUGAAGUGGAAGUAGAGCGAGUUGCGGUCAGAUUAGAAGUUCAAGAACUGGCUGAUUCUUUCGAGAGCAGAUUGAAGAAUGCCAGCAGAGCUUGUCAGAGCUGCAGAAGGGCCAGCUCUCUGUGGCAGCGGAGCUGUCAAAGGACACCGGCCCUGUUGUUGUGUAUUUGGACGUUUCUGCCAGCGAUGAACCUUCAGGACACACAGCCACGGAGCUGCUUUCACACAUUGUCCCUCGGACGGCUGAAAAGCUCAGGGCCCUGUGCACAGGGGAGAAAGGCUCGUGGAUUCAGGAGUACCACGUUUCACAGGAUAGUUAGUGACUUCCUAUGUCAGGUAAGCUUAACGUGAAGGCUUUUCACGGAGAGAAAAAGCCCACCUGGGCUGCAGCACCGCAUGGAUCCUGCCUGAAAGUGGGCUUUUCCAGUUUUUGACUGUAGUGAGAGUAGCCAAAAUCAGCAGGGCUGCUGUCAGCAGCGACGCCUCAAGCUUUCCCGACACUUCUAGAGAGGAUCACGUUUGAUUCUUGGGGAGCUGUGACUUCAUGGGAACGCCACAGCCUGCGUGUGAGACUUCAUUUUGUUCGUGCUGUUAUCUGCCUGAUGGCUCCUCUUUGACAGCUGUUUGAUUUGUGGGCUCUUAGAGCCAGCUUUCAGCCUUUGGCAGCAGCAGGAAGCGGAGCUCCCGACGUGUUGUAGGCAGCGUUUGCUCUGCUCAGGGGCCUUGGCUGCAGCGUGUGUGCAGAGAACAGCGUGCGUGUUUGGCAUGGCUGUGCAGCAGAGAACAGAAAUGGUAGUUUUGUCAUUUUUCAGUGCCUCCCAGGACAGCACUCUGUGGUAGAUCAGAAAUUGGUGUGCGUGUUGGAUUUGCUGUUUAGCAGGUGCAUUCUCCUGCUGCAUCUCUGUGCAUCUCUGUAUCCUACUGUACUUUGACUGCAGGAGUUUUCUCGCAGUAGGGUCAAGGCCACCCAAACUCAGGUCUGUUGUGCUUUGAGUAUGGAGCCCUUUCAAGGCUUGAUUAAGACCUAGCAGAGUAGAAGCCAACGCUGUGUGAACGACAAUUCAAGAGUGUCCUUUUCUGGAACUGCGCUCACAAAUGGUCAGAAUUCACUGUAGGAUGCUUGUGAUUGUUUUGUACUAUUAAGUUCUGUCCAUGA